UGGGGAAUAUUGGACAAUGGGCGAAAGCCUGAUCCAGCCAUGCCGCGUGUGUGAAGAAGGUCUUCGGAUUGUAAAGCACUUUAAGUUGGGAGGAAGGGCAGUAAGCGAAUACCUUGCUGUUUUGACGUUACCGACAGAAUAAGCACCGGCUAACUCUGUGCCAGCAGCCGCGGUAAUACAGAGGGUGCAAGCGUUAAUCGGAAUUACUGGGCGUAAAGCGCGCGUAGGUGGUUCGUUAAGUUGAAUGUGAAAGCCCCGGGCUCAACCUGGGAACUGCAUCCAAAACUGGCGAGCUAGAGUAGGGCAGAGGGUGGUGGAAUUUCCUGUGUUGCGGUGAAAUGCGUAGAUAUAGGAAGGAACACCAGUGGCGAAGGCGACCACCUGGGCUCAUACUGACACUGAGGUGCGAAAGCGUGGGGAGCAAACAGG
rnacentral:rRNA from 1 species